GACGAACGCUGGCGGCGUGCUUAACACAUGCAAGUCGAACGAAGAGCGAUGGAAGCUUGCUUCUAUCAAUCUUAGUGGCGAACGGGUGAGUAACGCGUAAUCAACCUGCCCUUCAGAGGGGGACAACAGUUGGAAACGACUGCUAAUACCGCAUACGAUCUAAUCUCGGCAUCGAGGAUAGAUGAAAGGUGGCCUCUACAUGUAAGCUAUCACUGAAGGAGGGGAUUGCGUCUGAUUAGCUAGUUGGAGGGGUAACGGCCCACCAAGGCGAUGAUCAGUAGCCGGUCUGAGGGGAUGAAGGUCCACAUUGGGACUGAGACAGGGCCCGAACUCCUACGGGAGGCGUCAGUGGGGAAUCUUCCGAAAUGGACGAAAGUCUGACGGAGCAACGCGCGGUGAGUGAUAACGGCGUUCGGGUUUUAAAACUCUGUUAAUGGGGACAAAAGGCCUUUUUGGGAAAUGUGAAAAGGUUUGGCGGUCCCGGAAAAAAAAGCCCUGGCAAACUCCUU
rnacentral:rRNA from 1 species